rfam:Mesocricetus auratus contig140643, whole genome shotgun sequence.
GGAGCUGGAGCUCAGUGGUAGAGUGCUUGCCUGGUGUGCAUGGGGCCCUAGGUUCAAUUCCCAGCACUGCCA